UACGUAGGGGGCAAGCGUUGUCCGGAUUCAUUGGGCGUAAAGAGCGUGUAGGCGGCCAGGUAGGUCCGUUGUGAAAACUCGAGGCUCAACCUCGAGACGUCGAUGGAAACCAUCUGGCUAGAGUCCGGAAGAGGAGAGUGGAAUUCCUGGUGUAGCGGUGAAAGUGCGCAGAUAUCAGGAAGAACACCUAUGGCGAAGGCAGCUCUCUGGGACGGUACUGACGCUGAGACGCGAAAGCGUGGGGAGCGAACAGG
rnacentral:rRNA from 1 species